UUACAUGUAAUAGUCUCAAUUUAUUUUGACAGAUUCCCCAGUGUGCAAUAUCCAACCAUUGUCAGGGAAAGGGAAGCAUCAUUUCCUUACAGAACACAGUAACAAGAUGAAUGGAGGCUAUACAGUUUUUACCAGAUACAAGAAAUCAGUGUGAUCAGACUUAUGGUGAACUGUUGGACCCUGCAAGAGAGAGAG